AAACUUGAAAUUAUAAAAUUUUAAAUGAUUCGAUGAGAACGAUUUAAACCAAAAAUUUGGGAGAAAAGCAAAUAUUUUUUGAAAAGUAUAAAUAUUUUGGAAGGCUCCGUUCCUUCUUCUAAAAACCCUUAGCUCAUACUCUGGCAAUUUUUCAUACACGUUAAGAGCUAUUGAUUUGCUUUGAUUUCGCAGACAAAAAUGAGCUGGGACUUGAUCUUCUGGAUAAUCUGCUUCGCCAUUGACCUAGGCCUCCUUGCUUCCACCUUCUAUCAGCUGGUGAUUUUGACGGACUUGGAGGCUGACUAUAUAAACCCUUUUGAAUCAUCUUCCCGCAUUAACUCUUUGGUGUAUCCUGAGUUCAUUGUGCAUGGAGUUCUUUGUGCACUUUUCCUCUUGACAUGGCACUGGUUCUUGUUCCUAAUUACUCUUCCCAUGUCUGCCUAUUUCGUGAUGCUGUUUUUGAAGCGCAAGCAUCUUGUUGAUGUUACUGAAGUGUUUAGGCUUCUAAAUGCUGAGAAGAGAUUGAGGAAAUUGAAGCUUGCAUUCUAUCUGGGUCUCCUUGUUAUAAUCAUCUUCAGUUGCAUUUUUAACUGGAGAAUUGGACAGAUCCAGUAAAAUCUUUUUAUGACUUUGAAAUCUUCCAUGAUCUAUGAACUCCUUUUUAUGGCUUACAUUAUCUGCUUUCAACUCUUUAACUAAUGAGGAAGAUGCUGUGAAUAUAUUUUGAUUUUCCACUGACAGUAUGAUAGCAACUCAUUGUAAGUUUGUUCCAUGUACUUGAUGACUGAGAAAAUGUGAAUUUUGGGCCUUCUAGCCUAGGGGGAUGGGUGCAUAAAAGCUAAAGAUUAGGAGGGGGGGAGGGGGGGGGGGAGGAGGGGAAACCUUCAAUUUGUAUACUUUCUACGUAUUGUUAACCGUAACCCUUUGAUUUGGCAUGGAGAGCAUUGCCAUUGAGGCAUGACACAUUGAUAUUGGUAAUACUUGUGUCCGGACCUCAAGCACUCAGGAAUCAAGAUGAAAAUGUCUGCUUUGUGAAAAGCUUUAUGAAAAUACGCAUGACUAUAUUUUUGUUGUCUAUCUAAGUUUUUGAUGGUUCGAUAGUAUAUUUUUAUAUUUGUACUGAACCUUAUACUCGUAUUGCAAACCUAUUUGUGAUAUCAAUAUAUAUAUAUAUAUAUAUAUAUGUA